AGUGAACGCUGGCGGUAGGCCUAACACAUGCAAGUCGAACGGCAGCACAGUAAGAGCUUGCUCUUACGGGUGGCGAGUGGCGGACGGGUGAGGAAUACAUCGGAAUCUACUUUUUCGUGGGGGAUAACGUAGGGAAACUUACGCUAAUACCGCAUACGACCUACGGGGGAAAGCAGGGGAUCUUCGGACCUUGCGGGAUUGAAUGAGCCGAUGUCGGAUUAGCUAGUUGGCGGGGUAAAGGCCCACCAAGGCGACGAUCCGUAGCUGGUCUGAGAGGAUGAUCAGCCACACUGGAACUGAGACACGGUCCAGACUCCUACGGGAGGCAGCAGUGGGGAAUAUUGGACAAUGGGCGCAAGCCUGAUCCAGCCAUACCGCGUGGGUGAAGAAGGCCUUCGGGUUGUAAAGCCCUUUUGUUGGGAAAGAAAAGCAGCAGGUUAAUACCCCGCUGUUCUGACGGUACCCAAAGAAUAAGCACCGGCUAACUUCGUG
rnacentral:rRNA from 1 species